rnacentral:rRNA from 1 species
GGCCGCGGGAAUUCGAUUCAGGCCUAACACAUGCAAGUCGAACGCCCCGCAAGGGGAGUGGCAGACGGGUGAGUAACGCGUGGGAAUCUACCGUGCCCUACGGAACAACAGUUGGAAACGACUGCUAAUACCGUAUACGCCCUACGGGGGAAAGAUUUAUCGGGGUAUGAUGAGCCCGCGUUGGAUUAGCUAGUUGGUGGGGUAAAGGCCUACCAAGGCGACGAUCCAUAGCUGGUCUGAGAGGAUGAUCAGCCACAUUGGGACUGAGACACGGCCCAAACUCCUACGGGAGGCAGCAGUGGGGAAUAUUGGACGGUGGGCGCAAGCCUGAUCCAGCCAUGCCGCGUGAGUAAAGGAGGUCUUAGGAUUGUAAAGCUCUUUCACCGGAGAAGAUAAUGACGGAUCCGAGAAGAAGCCCC